UUGGAGGGCAAGUCUGGUGCCAGCAGCCGCGGUAAUUCCAGCUCCAAUAGCGUAUAUUAAAGUUGUUGCAGUUAGAAAGCUCGUAGUUGAACUUCGGGGUCUACCCAUUGGUCAGGCUUAAUUGUCUGUACUGGUGAGAUGGAUCUCUACCUUCUGAGGAACUUUCAUGCCAUUUAUUUGGUGUGAUGGGAAAUCAGGACUGUUACUUUGAAAAAAUUAGAGUGUUUAAAGCAGACUAUCGUCUGAAUACAUUAGCAUGGAAUAAUGAAAUAGGACGGACUGAUUCUAUUUCGUUGGUUUCUAGGAUCACCGUAAUGAUUAAUAGGGAUAGUUGGGGGCAUUAGUAUUCAAUUGUCAGAGGUGAAAUUCUUGGAUUUAUUGAAGACUAACUUCUGCGAAAGCAUUUGCCAAGGAUGUUUUCAUUAAUCAAGAACGAAAGUUAGGGGAUCGAAGACGAUCAGAUACCGUCGUAGUCUUAACCAUAAACUAUGCCGACUAGGGAUCGGACGAUGUUAAUUUUUUAAUGACUCGUUCGGCGCCUUACGGGAAAC
rnacentral:rRNA from 1 species